rnacentral:rRNA from 1 species
AUUGAACGCUGGCGGCACGCUUUACACAUGCAAGUCGAACGGUAACAGGCCGCAAGGUGCUGACGAGUGGCGAACGGGUGAGUAAUGCAUCGGAACGUGCCCAGUCGUGGGGGAUAACGCAGCGAAAGCUGCGCUAAUACCGCAUACGAUCUAUGGAUGAAAGCGGGGGACCGUAAGGCCUCGCGCGAUUGGAGCGGCCGAUGUCAGAUUAGGUAGUUGGUGGGGUAAAGGCUCACCAAGCCAACGAUCUGUAGCUGGUCUGAGAGGACGACCAGCCACACUGGGACUGAGACACGGCCCAGACUCCUACGGGAGGCAGCAGUGGGGAAUUUUGGACAAUGGGCGCAAGCUGAUCCAGCAAUGCCGCGUGCAGGAAGAAGGCCUUCGGGUUGUAAACUGCUUUUGUACGGAGCGAAAAGGCUCUCUCUAAUACAGGGGGCUCAUGACGGUACCGUAAGAAUAAGCACCGGCUAACUACGUGCCAGCCGCCGCGGUAAAAC